AGGCAGGGCUCUCCUGCCCUUCCUUAAACCGUUCCUUCGGGGAC
rfam:Synechococcus sp. CC9605, complete genome.